rnacentral:rRNA from 1 species
CCUACGGGAGACAGCAGUGAGGAAUAUUGGUCAAUGGUCGGGAGACUGAACCAGCCAAGCCGCGUGAGGGAUGAAGGUACAGAGUAUCGUAAACCUCUUUUGUCAGGGAACAAAGGCGGGGACGUGUCCCCGGAUGAGUGUACCUGAAGAAAAAGCAUCGGCUAACUCCGUGCCAGCAGCCGCGGUAAUACGGAGGAUGCGAGCGUUAUCCGGAUUUAUUGGGUUAAAAGGGUGCGCAGGCGGUCUGUUAAGUCAGCGGUAAAAGCCCGGGGCUCAACCCCGGCCCGCCGUUGAAACUGGCAGUCUCGAGUUGGAGAGAAGUAUGCGGAAUGCGCGGUGUAGCGGUGAAAUGCAUAGAUAUCGCGCAGAACUCCGAUUGCGAAGGCAGCAUGCCGGCUCCACACUGACGCUGAGGCACGAAAGCGUGGGUAUCGAACAGGAUUAGAUACCCGAGUAGUC